GCCUUCGUGGUGUAGUGGUCAGCACGCUCGACGCGUAAGCGACAGGUCCGUGGUUCAAUUCCCGGCGAAGGCG
rnacentral:tRNA from 1 species